AAACCAGGUGCGGUCGCGGCCCCCGGGGGCUUGCUCCCGGGUGGUAGGGGUAACACCCUCACGCGCCGCCUGCCUGUACCCUCUUUUUACGAGCACCUUUCGUUCUCCUUCGGCGGGGCAACCUGCCGCUGGAACCAAAACAAAACCUUUUUUGCAUCUAGCAUUACCUGUUCUGAUACAAAUAAUCGUUACAACUUUCAACAAUGGAUCUCUUGGCUCUGGCAUCGAUGAAGAACGCAGCGAAAUGCGAUAAGUAGUGUGAAUUGCAGAAUUCAGUGAAUCAUCGAAUCUUUGAACGCACAUUGCGCCCCUUGGUAUUCCAUGGGGCAUGCCUGUUCGAGCGUCAUCUACACCCUCAAGCUCUGCUUGGUGUUGGGCGUCUGUCCCGCCUCUGCGCGCGGACUCGCCCCAAAUUCAUUGGCAGCGGUCUUUGCCUCCUCUCGCGCAGCACAAUUGCGUCUGCGGGGGGGCGUGGCCCGCGUCCACGAAGCAACAUUACCGUCUUUGACCUCGGAUCAGGUAGGGAUACCCGCUGAACUUAAGCAUAUCAAUAA
rnacentral:rRNA from 1 species